rnacentral:rRNA from 1 species
UCCCCCACACUGGAACUGAGACACGGUCCAGACUCCUACGGGAGGCAGCAGUAAGGAAUAUUGGUCAAUGGACGCAAGUCUGAACCAGCCAUGCCGCGUGCAGGAAGACGGCCUUAUGGGUUGUAAACUGCUUUUAUUAGAGGAUAAAAUGAGGUACGUGUACUUCAUUGCAGGUAUCUAAUGAAUAAGGAUCGGCUAACUCCGUGCCAGCAGCCGCGGUAAUACGGAGGAUCCGAGCGUUAUCCGGAUUUAUUGGGUUUAAAGGGUGCGCAGGCGGACGCAUAAGUCAGCGGUGAAAUUUACAUGCUUAACAUGUAUCGUGCCGUUGAUACUGUGCGACUAGUAUUCAAAUGACGUAGCUGGAAUGUGUUAUGUAGCGGUGAAAUGCAUAGAUAUAACACAGAACACCGAUCGUGAAGACAGGUUACGAAUUUGUGAUAGACGCUCAUGCACGAAAGCGUGGGGAUCAAACAGGAUUAGAUACCCUGGUAGUCCACGCCGUAAACGAUGAUAACUCGUUGUUGGACAUUUAUGUUCAGUGGCUAAGCGAAAGCGAUAAGUUAUCCACCUGGGGAGUACGAUCGCAAGGUUGAAACUCAAAGGAAUUGACGGGGGCCCGCACAAGCGGAGGAGCAUGUGGUUUAAUUCGAUGAUACGCGAGGAACCUUACCCGGGCUCGAACGUAUGAUGAAUAAUGUGGAAACAUGUUAGUCGAAAGACAUUAUACGAGGUGCUGCAUGGUUGUCGUCAGCUCGUGCCGUGAGGUGUCAGGUUAAGUCCUAUAACGAGCGCAACCCCUACUGUUAGUUGCCAUCAGGUUAAGCUGGGGACUCUAGCGGAACUGCCUACGCAAGUAGAGAGGAAGGUGGGGAUGACGUCAAAUCAGCACGGCCCUUAUGUCCGGGGCGACACACGUGCUACAAUGGUCAAUACAGAGGGUCGCUACUUGGUAACAAGAUGCCAAUCUCAAAAGUUGAUCUCAGUUCGGAUCGGAGUCUGUAACUCGACUCCGUGAAGUUGGAUUCGCUAGUAAUCGCAUAUCAGCCAUGAUGCGGUGAAUACGUUCCCGGGCCUUGUACACACCGCCCGUCAAGCCAUGGAAGUUGGGGGUACCUAAAGAAUGUGACCGCGAGGAGCGUUCUAUGGUAAACUUGAUAACUGGGGCUAAGUCGUAACAAGGUAGCCGUACCGGAAGGUGUGGCUG